rnacentral:tRNA from 1 species
UUCAAGGGUAAGCUAAAUUAAGCUGUUGGGCUCAUAACCCAAAAAUGAAUGAUUUCCCCUUGAAG